CAAAGCAGAAAAGUAGAAAUGUGUUUGUGUCCAAAAUUCCUCUGGGCUACAACACUACCUGUGUUAUAAUCCUAGAAUUAUUGUACGCUUGCACUUCUGCCCCCCGAUGAGUUGUACCAAAAUGACCCUUUGGUGGCAUUCAAAACAUGCAGCUUUUUAUUUUACCUCUCUCUUUCUUUUUUUUUUUUUUUCUUUUUUUUUUCCACCUGGCCAUAACGUGGUCACACCCAAAGGAGGGCUGUUGGCUUUCAAACGACAGGAAGGUGCACACGGUGUGCACUUGACUCCGUGACAUUUUUGCACCUCCCAUUAACCAGUGCUGUUACUUUGCAGAUUUUUGUAAACACCACUGAACAUCAAGUAUGCGAGGAACUGGCCUCACUUGCUUUAUUAGUAACCUGGAGGGAUUUGUAAGAUCUUCUGAAGAAUGCAGAUUUCCAGUUUAUUAUGCUCUUUUUAUUUAUUAGGAAUUUUGUGUGGCUUUGUUGUUUGUUUGCUUUAAGAAAAUAUUUCUGUUCAAAAUGAACAUGACUCAUACUCUGCCUGUGAGCAAAUCAGGUCAGGAAAUGAUGCUGUAUGCAUAAACUAAGUUUACGUUUACUCACUUUUCCUUUACAUCCUGUGGGGCUGCAUUUGGCUUCCUUUCCCUCAAGUCUAAGAGCAGGCUCUUGCACAUUUUCCCCAGAAUCCUGUUCCUGGAGUAAUAUCUGCUGCUUGUCCUGUGCUCAGCUCGGUGGCGCUCCAAACCUGCUCCUGUGGUGGAACAACUGGCCAGGGAAUACCACCUGAAGGUUGUGUUAUCGCACAAGUGCCCAUCCUUUCCCAUUUUUACCCAAACCUCGCUCUAGGAAUCCUUUUGCUGCUAUCUUCACCUGAGCUUUGUGUGGCCUCCGCUACAUCUGCUUGUGGCACCGUGUCAUUGUCAGUGGGUCACUGAAGGCAAGUGCUGUUUCUCAUUGAGCUCUGCCUCGUUGUGCCAUUUUCUCUUCCUGAGACUCCAGAAGGUUUUCGUGCUGGCCAGGAGGUCUGUCCGUAGUGGAUCAGUAUUGUAUGGAGGCUUUACCCUGGAAAAUAAUAAUUUGAACAAGCUUCCAAAAUAUAUCAGAGUAUUCAAAUGAGUUUAAAUUCACUUUUUUUUAUUAUUAUUAAACUUUCCAGCACAAGUGAUACACCCGCCUUUCCCAAAUUUACCAAAAAAAUAUAAUUUAUGAAGAGAUAAAACCCAAAUGUCACUGCUGCAAAUCCAGGCUGGACCCAGAUUUGUGCUGAUCGGUGUGAAGGCAGAGUAGUUCCUGGAGCUCAGUGUCGUUAUCCUGGGGGUCUGUAGAUGCAAGGGGCAGUCUGUUUUCUUUAUCCCAAAUACCAAAAUUUGCAUCUCAUCAUUCAAUCAUCGUUAACUACAGGGAGAUUUUCUGGAUUUAUGCAAGCGUGUCUGACAGGUUCCUACACUGCCUUGUGUUUUUACAGCUUUGAAGAGCCCCUGAUUGCAGAUAGGGAUCUUCUUGUUCUUGGCAGCGUGCAAACAGUAAGCAGAAAAGGUGGUCCCUCCCCACUCCAGAUAAACUCUGACCUACUUCAGGCUAACCCUGGGAAGAGCAAGCGCUGCUGGUGAGCUGCAUGAGGAAGAGGACACAGAAGGGCUUUGUGUUACGGUUUGACGUAAGGCAAAGCACAGUCAUGCAUUAGCUCAGUGUUGAUGACAUUAGCCACUGGACAUUCAGUCUCAGCUUCAUGCCUUCAGAUGUUUAAUUUUUAUUUAUUUUUUCAUAGAGAAACAUCAUAUAAAACAUCAGCUUCAUCACAUAACUCUGUGUAAAGAAACCAAAAAUCCUCAGCAGUGCACUGUCCCCUGUCCUGACACUGGGUUUUGCUUGAACAUGGAUGUUGUAGACAUUUUUCUUGGCAAUUAGAAGAGAAUCCUUUUUUUGCUUCCUGUAGUUAUAAUCACCAUACUGUAGGUGCAGGAGCACAUUUUGUGCUCCGGCUCCGAUUACAGUGGCAAUCCUGCAAGGUUAUGGAGGACACAGGGGUCUGAGUACGACUUCAGAAGUAAGAAGUCUUAACGAUGACUGAUUAGUAAAUAGGGAAAGCCAAGGGUCAAGCUCAUGAUUUUUCUGUGAGACCUGCUAGCCUUGAUGAUGGGUUGUGUCACUACAUCAUUUCUAACAAUGUAUGCAAGAAAAGAAAUUCGGGCAUUCGUCAAGCCGUGAGCAACAAUGGAGUAAAAAGAAGUCAUUGCUAUAGAUGUAACAGGAAGGCUACUUUUUAUUCAGACUACUGUUGCAAUACUCUCAGAAGUUACACACGUUGUAUAGUGAAAAAGGUCAAAGCUGAAAAUUGCUAAGUAAAUUAGAGAACUGACAUUAUUCUGCUUUGAAUCUCUUUUAUCGCUUUUUGUGUUCUUUAAUAUUAGUAGAGGGGUAAUAAAAUAUUCUAGGGCACACAUUUACCAGCCUGGAUUUGGCACAACUCCUUAAUUUUCUGGGCAAAAUAAGCUGGGCCACCUCUUUUGAGUGUCAUGGUAUUGACAUCAGUGACCCCAGACAAACUGCGUUGAUAUGGGAUUAUGCCACCUUUCCCUGAAUUAUAUGGGGGAAGGUUUGAAACAUAGGUCUGAUUGGUUUAAUUUGUAAAAUUAAACAAGUGGGUACUUUUAUCUUGCCACUUCUCAUUGAAGCAGUGAGUCUCAGUAGCUGGCACAGAGGCGUAAACGUUGUUGGGUUUUGUUCACGUCCUUGCCAUUCAUUUUCUGUGCAGGCUGAGCCACACACUUCUCUUUGCCCCUCUUUCCCAAUCAGUGAAAUGCACAGAUACUGUGUGGUUUGAGAUGUCUGGGCAGUGCCAUUAGGGGCUAAAUCCCGGGGCAGUUUCAGGAACCCGGAGGAGUCAGCACCACUGUGACUUAGUUGGGAACAGGCCUGGCUUGGCCCAUGUGUGUGUCAGCAAAAAGCUGGCCUCAGGAGGGUAACUCUGAAACUGUGACUUUUCUACCAGUGGUAGUAACACAGUGAAAUACCAGCAAAGAUCUGCGCUGCUGAAGGAGCCGUGCUCUUGAUGUAAUCAAAGAUGUACGUGCCUUCGGGUUGUUCCUGUGGUGGCUGAAGAUCUGAGAGGAAAUUAGGAAAUGCGGUUGUGAAAGAAAAAAAAAAUGUUGAGCAGAGCACUAGGAGCUGAUUACCUUCUUUUCCACAGGGGGAGGGGGAAAUGAAAAAAAGUGACUUUCUUCAAAGAUUUGGAAUAAGAUCUAUCUGACUUCAAAGGGAGUUGCUGCAAGGCUGGCUCAGUCACACCACAUCCAUCUCCUCAGGCAGAGCCAGGCUUGCCCCCUGGGCAGCACUGGGGUGCUCUCCUCAUUUGUUCAUAUCAGAAGGCUGUGCUGACACAGGCUGGGUCAGGGCUUCCUCUUCCCUGUUACUACAUCCAUCACAUGCGUAACAGGCUGGUGAUCCCUUGCACCACGCAGGGGGAGCCCCUGCCUUGUGCAGGCAGCCACUGUGCGUCUGUCUCGGGGACUCAGUCCCGGGAUGGUACCUCGGUGUGAAUCAGAGCCUGGUUUCACCCCAGGAUGCCCUCAGUACCUCGAAUGCUGCGUGCCCUGUCCCUGAAAGAGCUGCUGCUGAAGUGCACCGCACUGAUGUUGCCCUCUGUCCCAGAAGCUUGUUGUUCAAACUUUGAUCUGAAGCGGGAGGGAAUUAGGGAUCUUUUUCUCCAUGUGUUUUCUCCCCUCCACAUGUCCAGACUGCUGCUCAGAGCAGGGGACAAAAGGGCAAUGGCAGAUAUGAGGGCUGAUAUCUGGGGUGUGUGAAACAUGCUGGUGCUGAGCUUGGGACAAGUUUGGUGUGGGUAAAGAGGUUAGGAUGUGAGCAGGGGGUUGAUGCCUGGAGUUACAGGGCAAGCAGGAAAACUGCUUCUGGGAGUAAGAAACCCUCUGCUGACUGAGAGUGGGUCUGAAGGAAAAGCUGGACUAUAUAUUUGCCGCUACCUGGCCAUUGGCCAAACUAAAUAUUCAUAUUUAAAACAAAUUAUCAGUAAAGUCAUUGACCGUGCUGUCUAAUCUAGAUCUGUACAAGGGUCGGGUGCUGCCCCAUCUCCCAAAUUCCUGACUUCGGCAUCAGGCGUUACAUCUGCUCUUCUUUCAGAACUGCUGCUCAUCCUUUAAAGCGCAGUGCUUGUGGCCUGGUUUUUCAGGUGUGUCCAAACUUUUGCUGCCCUUAGUGCAGUACAUGGGGGGCUUUCUCUUCUUACUCUCUCCAUGUUUCUCAGGUGGAGGUGAAAGCUUUCUGUCUUCCUCCCAAACUCAUCUGUAAAUCAGAUGAGCUUAUCUGAGUGCUUAAAGCCCUGGCAGGGCAGCUUGGUCUCAAGGUAAGGUAGUCACAGCUCACAGCCCAGCCUCACGCCACGAGACUUCUCUGAAGCAAAAGGAAUUCCUCCUUACAGGUGGUUUUAGCACCAGGCUGUCUUUGUGCUGCAGAAGACGGCUCAGGGCUCCUCAUUUCUUUGCUGCAUCUUGGAGCAAACACACCUAUAUAAACAAGGCUUUCUGUGCCUAGAUCCUCUCUCCAGCCAGGAAGAGGAGGGAAGAGCCAGCCUGGAAACAAAUUAACCCUAAGCAUUUUCCCUUUCCCAUCUUACUAACAAAUAAAAUCCUUGAACUGACCCCAAAGUAGAUUUUUUACCCAAAGGAGAGGGCAAGUGCCAGGGGUUCAGUGGACUUUUCCCAGUGCUGUUGGGUCAGUGCAGAAGAUAUUCCACCCAUGGUGGCUGUGGUUGCUGGUGCAAAAAGCCAUGAUCCUGAGAGCCGCUGUGGGAGAGCUUCCCAGUCCAGACGUGAUAGUGGCCCUCCAGGGGACCCUGCUGCCCUGUUGCAGAAAGUUGAACCACAACGCCGAGGAAGACUACGGCCUUCAUCUUCACGACCACCAGAGGGACAGAGACGACCCCCUAGCAACAGUGCGCACAGUCGCAGAAUAUACCAGGAUCCCGGAAUCCGUAAAAUCACCAUCACGUAAUCCCGGAAUCACCAAAAUAUAAAAAGGGACCCUGGGGGGGGUGAGGUGCGCGCCGUUGGCGGAGCUGAGACUCCCCAGCCACCCAGAGCUGUUUUGCUUGCUGUUGCUUACUCAAUAAAUUCCUUUCUAUUAUUAAUGCAAUGCUCUCUGAAAAUUAAUUAAGGGGGCAACUUAUAACACUUCUGAGUUGUGCAGAGACCUUUUGAUUAAACAUCACUCCUUAAGCUUUCUGAAUUUCAUUUGCACUAUGUACUUUCAGGUGGUGUCCUUAUAAACGAGAAUAUUCCCCACUUUUGGGGUCAUUUGACAAGCUUGGAUAUUGGUUUAACAUUUUGUUUCUUUCCACUCAACCCAACUAUUCUUGUCACUUGUGAAAUUUGUAGAAAGCUUAAUAUUAUUAAAUACACACUGCUUUCUAAAUAAGUCUGCUUCAAGCGCAGGCACACAAGUUGUGAAUGAAUAAAGCAGAUAAAGGAACAUGACGGUCUAGAAGCUGGAAUCAUAUUGAAAAUGAAAGUUUCGCAACAGUCCUGAAACAGAGCAUAUGAGUGCUAAACUUAUUUCUAGUACUUGCAAACAGGGAGGAGAAUUACUAAUCCUGACUAACCUACCCAAGAAAGUGCUUGCUAUGACCUGAAGGACUGAAAAAAAAUCCAUUUGCUUGCUUUGGAAAAGAAUCUAUUUUUCCGUGUAGAAGGAAGCUGGACAGAAAUUUAACUGCUGGGGAAGAAAGGGGAAUUUAACAGGGCUGCAAAUCCCCCUCCGUUUUCCCUGCUGACCACAUCUUCUCACUCUUGGCCCUCUUCCCACUUUCCAAUAAAAAACCAGACCCCAAUAUGAGGUUUUAUUGAAAACAAACAAAAAAACAACCAAACAAAAACUUUCCCUAACUAAGAAGCUGGAACAAUUUUGUGCCAGAAAGUUACUGGCAGAAUGAGCAAAUGUACAUUAAGCUAAUGAGGGUGUCCAAAAGGAAGGAGGAAGAAUGAACUCUUUUUUUGUUAGGGCUUUCAGAUUUGGGGUUGCUGGCUCAAAGAGGAAAUAUUAAGCAGGUUGGAGAUGGCCCGUCUUUUUACCAAA